ensembl:lncRNA
GUAAUACGUGAGGUAGAGGAAAAGAAAGACAUGGGUUUAUCCCUCCCUAUAGAGAAGGAUGAAAAACCGAGGCUGUGAUAUUAAAAGGCUAAAGUGACAGGUCGUGGUCUCUAAGCAGGUAGCUCGCCAAAGAAAUCAUACGCAUAAUAAUUGGAGAGUGGACGGAGGCGAAGAGAACUGUGCAGAGUUGUGUGAAGAAGAGUGUUAGGUGCACAGGCUUUCCUGGCAAUGUCCACUUUGGUGUUGGACAGGAUGCCUCCUGGUGCUCCUGGCUGUGGCUGAGGAACAAGUGACUUGCUACAUGGACUGGAUUAUCAGAUUUAAAUGACAUGUGGUCUCCAGCAUUUGGGGCUAUGGCCCAGAAGAGAUCAUCCCCCGUGAGUUUUCUACAGUGUGUGGCCCUGGUAAAACUUCAGGGAAGUUGAUACCUCCGCAGGUGUGUUUGCAUGGAUUUUAAGAAGUCAUGGCGUCACAUAACCUCUAUCCGAGAGUUUCUGAAUUUUCCCGACAGUGAUGAAUGGAAACCAACAUGUUGGAAAAGGGAAAGUCUGAAGAGAAUUCGCAGAUUUGCUUUCUGUCUCACAACAUUUCGCGUCUUUCUCUAGGUUGCACACUUUCACCCUGAGGAUGUGGUCCAGGAGCAGUUGAUGGGCUUCUCCUUAUGGAUCAUAAACAUGAACUCCAUGAUUGAAGUGAGGUCUGACACCUGGAAUAUUUUACCAAUGAAGCCCAGCUGGGAAGACUCUAGAAUCAUCCAUUCCUCAGAAGAAAGUUGAAGUGCAAGGUUUUUGACAGUAUUGAGAUAAUUCUUUUUGACAAUGAUAGCGUCUUCGAGCUGAAUGUAAAACACGCCCUUUUCCUGAUAAUCAGUAUCUGUCUCCUGUGAAGACUACUAUAACAGUCCUCCUUCUCUUCGGGGUACAAAUUAUCAAUAAGGGAAUGGAGGGUUUCUAUGAGAUCAGAAGUAAUCUCUCUCUUCCCUUGAGAAUUCCCAUUACUACUGAAACUCUGGUUCUCCCACUGCUGACCUGCACAGCAAGCUGAGACCUUCCUUCAUUUCGCAGUAAGUCAGGCAAAUGAUCAUAAAUACUUGCCACUUGAAGGAGACAUGUUUUGCUUGUUAACUCCAGUAGCUGUAGGGUUAUAUCUGAAAAUCUAUUCGAGGGCCGGGGAUUUAGCUCAGUGGUUCCUCUGCCUGCCUCGCAAGCGGAAGGACCUGAGUUCGAUCCCCGGUACCAAAAAAAAAAAAAAAAAAUCUAUUCGAUGCAUCCUUACUUCCAUUUGUUUCUGCACCUACACGCCAGAACUAUUGUACAACAAUACUUCACUCGGAAGAGAGCUGGGAGAUUCUGUGUCCAGCUAUUCCAAGGCAUUAUUUUAAAGCAAGGAAUUCUCAUUGAUAAGCAAUUAGUUCUUCUUUCCCAUUUUGCCACAUAGCAUUCCAUGAUAAAGUAAGGAACGAAGUGACAGAUGCUAAACCAAUGGCCUGCAUCACACUGGGUCAGAGGUUUGUGAUGACAACCGGGACUGUUUUCUCUUUACCCGGAAGUCAGCAGUAUCCAGUACUCCUGGCUCUCAACCAAUAAGCACAGUCAAUGAGAGGUUCCUUUCAGAUGCUUACAGACAUACCAUUCCCGGUCGCCCCUCAGGAUUGUCUUCGCAGCCUUCAAACACCCAUGUCUCCGGAUAUUUUCCUCCACUGAGCAGUAGAAAUCCCCACUGGCAACAAAAGAUCACAAGAGCUUAGUGAUUUUUAAUCAUUUUUAAUAAAAACGACGACCGCCAUGGCAUCUUGCUCCCCAUGGGCUGGGUCCAUUAUGUGGUUUAAACCUUCACCAAACCCUAUGAGGCCAGCAUUACUAAUAUCAUUUUACACACCCUCAACCUCCUGAGGGCUGGGAUUGCAGGUGUGUGCCACCAUACAAGGCCUUUUUUUUUCUCCUAGACAUAGUCUCACUCAGUUGCCCAGACUGGGCUUAAACUUGUGAUCCUUCUCUCUCAUCCUCCCACCGUGCCUGGACUACAGGACUACUGGUGUGCAUGAGCACACCAGCCUCACUGAAAUUACUGAGCCUCUUCUGUGUGCCAGCCUUCGAGUGAGAUACUUCACAGCCUCAGUCCCUGCCAGGGAACACCCCAGGGCCCCAGCCUACUGUGGAUUUAUCACAAAGGUCCAGCUCCAGGGAAACUGAGACAGUUGUGGCCCUGCCCUAUCCACAGGAGUCUCAAGAGGCUGUGAAGAUCCUCCUAACUCGAGGUCUAGAGGCAAGCUUCUGCCCCAGCUUUCUUCAAAGGUGAAGAUCCUCCUAACUCGAGGUCUAGAGGCAAGCUUCUGCCCCAGCUUUCUUCAAAGGUAGAUGCUGUACAUUGGCCUCCCUACAGUUAGCCUGGGGUUAAGGAAAACUCCCAAGCAAUGACUUUUCCUUUAUGCUGCCUCCUAGGUUAUGAACUGCAGGGCAGAGCGAUGUUUCGGGUCUCCAUAGUGCCUACUAGUGCCUUAAUAGAGUGGUUAUAAAAUGAAUGAUGUGGAAUUUAUUUUUUUGAGACAGGAUCUUGCUAUAUAGCUCAGGCAGGCCUUGAACACACUAAGUAGAUCAGGCUGGCCUUAAACUCUUAGAAAUCCUGUCUCCGCCUCCCAUGUGCUGGAAUUACAGGUAUGUACCACCAUGCUUUGCUACGUAUAUUUAGUUAAAUUGGGGUGUUUCCAGGCAUGGUACUGCACACCUGUGAUCCUAGCAUUCUGGAGGCUGAGGCAGGAGGAUUGCUGAGAGAUCCAGGCCAGCCUGGACUACACAGAAAGACCCUGUCUCAAAAUACAAAAAGAAUAAAUAAAUAAAG